UCCCUGGUGGCUCAGUGGUAGAGAAUCCGCCUGCCAAUGCAGGAGACACAGGUUCAAUCCCUGAUCCGGGAA
rnacentral:tRNA from 1 species